GGUGGGGUGGCCGAGUGGUUGAAGGCGCAGCUCUCGAAAAGCUGUAUAUCCGAAAGGAUAUCUAGAGUUCAAAUCUCUAUCCCACCGCCA
rnacentral:tRNA from 1 species